AAACGAAAGACUGCAGUCGUGGUGGAUGUGGCAAUACCCCGUGACUAGAACAUCAGGAAGAAGGAACAUGAGAAGGUGGAGAAAUACCUAGGACUGAAAGAAGAACUAGAAAGAAUGUGGAAAGUGAAGGCAGUAGUAGCCUCAGUUGUGAUAGGAGAACUCAGGGCUGUGACUCCCAAGUUGAGGGAGUGGCUUCAACAAAUUGCAGGUGGGACAUCUGAGAUUGCUAUCCAGAAGAGUGCAGUUCUAGGAACAGCUAAUAUACUGUGCAGAACCCUCAAAGUCCCAAGCCUCUGGUAGAGGACCCGAGAAUGAGGAG